GUUUCCACUUGAGAUAAUUAAUGAUGUCCCAAGUCAUCGGUUUAAAUUCUGAGUCGAGGAAAGGGUUGACUCUGUAUUACAGUCCGCGAACUAAAAAUCCGGGUAAGAAAUUCUAUUAACCCAGGAGAAGGUGUUAGACAUUCCCGAAUUCUGUGGUUCUAGCAUGGUCUCUCAACUGUUAUAAAUGGCUUAAUUAUCUGAUUUUAAAAUAUUUU
rnacentral:lncRNA from 1 species